rnacentral:rRNA from 1 species
UACGUAGGGUGCAAGCGUUAAUCGGAAUUACUGGGCGUAAAGCGUGCGCAGGCGGUUGUGUAAGACAGAUGGGAAAUCCCCGGGCUCAACCUGGGAACUGCAUUUGUGACUGCACAGCUGGAGUGCGGCAGAGGGGGAUGGAAUUCCGCGUGUAGCAGUGAAAUGCGUAGAUAUGCGGAGGAACACCGAUGGCGAAGGCAAUCCCCUGGGCCUGCACUGACGCUCAUGCACGAAAGCGUGGGGAGCAAACAGG